rnacentral:rRNA from 1 species
UACGAAGGGGGCUAGCGUUGUUCGGAAUUACUGGGCGUAAAGCGCGCGCAGGCGGUCUUCCAAGUCAGUGGUGAAAGCCCGGAGCUCAACUCCGGAACUGCCAUUGAAACUGUGAGACUUGAGUACGAGAGAGGUGAGUGGAAUUCCCAGUGUAGAGGUGAAAUUCGUAGAUAUUGGGAAGAACACCGGUGGCGAAGGCGGCUCACUGGCUCGUAACUGACGCUCAGGCGCGACAGCGUGGGGAUCGAAACAGG